rnacentral:rRNA from 1 species
GACGAACGCUGGCGGCGUGCUUAACACAUGCAAGUCGAACGGAAAGGCCCUGCUUGCCGGGUACUCGAGUGGCGAACGGGUGAGUAACACGUGGGUGAUCUGCCCUGCACUUCGGGAUAAGCCUGGGAAACUGGGUCUAAUACCGGAUAGGAGCCAUUUUUAGUGUGAUGGUUGGAAAGUUUUUUCGGUGUAGGAUGAGCUCGCGGCCUAUCAGCUUGUUGGUGGGGUAAUGGCCUACCAAGGCGGCGACGGGUAGCCGGCCUGAGAGGGUGGACGGCCACAUUGGAACUGAGAUACGGCCCAGACUCCUACGGGAGGCAGCAGUGGGGAAUAUUGCACAAUGGGCGCAAGCCUGAUGCAGCGACGCCGCGUGGGGGAUGACGGCCUUCGGGUUGUAAACUCCUUUCGCUAGGGACGAAGCUUUUUGUGACGGUACCUAGAUAAGAAGCACCGGCUAACUACGUG